UACGGCGAGUGAGCGGCAAGAGCUCAAAUUUGAAAUCUGGUGCCCCCGGCGCCCGAGUUGUAAUUUGAAGAUAGUUUUCUGGCAGCGGCCCUUGUCUAUGUUCCUUGGAACAGGACGUCAUAGAGGGUGAGAAUCCCGUCUGAUGGGGUGUCCGCGGCCGUGUAGAUCUCUAUCGAAGAGUCGAGUUGUUUGGGAAUGCAGCUCUAAGUGGGUGGUAAAUUCCAUCUAAAGCUAAAUACUGGCGAGAGACCGAUAGCGAACAAGUACAGUGAUGGAAAGAUGAAAAGAACUUUGAAAAGAGAGUGAAAAAGUACGUGAAAUUGUUGAAAGGGAAGGGUAUUCGAUCAGACUUGGUGUUGCGUGAUUAUCUUCCCUUCUUGGGUUGUGCACUCGCGCCUCACCGGGCCAGCAUCGGUUCUGGUGGCAGGAUAAUGGCUUGGGGAACGUGGCACUCCCCCCCGGG
rnacentral:rRNA from 1 species